GCCUGGCUGGCUCAGUUGGUAGAAUGUGUGAUUUUUGAUCUCAGAGUUGUGAGUUCAAGCCCCAUGUUAGGUG
rnacentral:tRNA from 1 species